rnacentral:tRNA from 1 species
UACUUUUUAGUUUAGAGAAAAUAUUUAGUUUGCAAUUAAAAGAUAGGUUGGGAGGAUCUAAUAGUGA